rnacentral:rRNA from 1 species
AUACGUAGGGGGCGAGCGUUGUCCGGAAUGAUUGGGCGUAAAGGGCGCGUAGGCGGCCCGGUAAGUCUGGAGUGAAAGUCCUGUUUUUAAGAUGGGAAUUGCUUUGGAUACUGUCGGGCUUGAGUGCAGGAGAGGUAAGUGGAAUUCCCAGUGUAGCGGUGAAAUGCGUAGAGAUUGGGAGGAACACCAGUGGCGAAGGCGACUUACAGGACUGUAACUGACGCUGAGGCGCGAAAGUGUGGGGAGCAAACAGGAUUAGAUACCCUGGUAGUCCACACUGUAAACGAUGAAUGCUAGGUGUAGGGGGUAUCGACCCCUUCUGUGCCGCAGUCAACACAAUAAGCAUUCCGCCUGGGGAGUACGGCCGCAAGGUUGAAACUUAAAGGAAUUGACGGGG